rnacentral:tRNA from 1 species
GCCUGCGUGUUGGAAUUGGUAGACAAAGGGGAUUCAAAAUCCCCCGCCGAAAGGCGUGGCGGUUCGAGUCCGCCCGCAGGUACCA